GAUGAGAACGUAGCGAAAUGCGAUAAGUAAUGUGAAUUGCAGAAUUCAGUGAAUCAUCGAAUCUUUGAACGCACAUUGCGCCCGCCAGUAUUCUGGCGGGCAUGCCUGUCCGAGCGUCAUUUCAACCCUCGAACCCCUCCGGGGGGUCGGCGUUGGGGAUCGGCCCCUCACCGGGCCGCCCCCGAAAUCCAGUGGCGGUCUCGCCGCAGCCUCUCCUGCGCAGUAGUUUGCACACUCGCACCGGGAGCGCGGCGCGGCCACAGCCGUAAAACACCCCAAACUCUGAAAUGUUGACCUCGGAUCAGGUAGGAAUACCCGCUGAACUUAAGCAUAUCAAUAAGCGGAGGA
rnacentral:misc_RNA from 1 species